rnacentral:rRNA from 1 species
UACGUAGGGUGCGAGCGUUGUCCGGAAUUAUUGGGCGUAAAGGGUGCGUAGGCGGCGCUGUAAGUCGGGUGUGAAAUCUCGGAGCUUAACUCCGAAACUGCAUUCGAUACUGCCGUGCUUGAGGACUGGAGAGGAGACUGGAAUUUACGGUGUAGCGGUGAAAUGCGUAGAUAUCGUAAGGAAGACCAGUGGCGAAGGCGGGUCUCUGGACAGUUCCUGACGCUGAGGCACGAAGGUCAGGGGAGCAAACGGG